GAUGAACGCUGGCGGCGUGCCUAAUACAUGCAAGUCGAGCGAACGGACGAGAAGCUUGCUUCUCUGAUGUUAGCGGCGGACGGGUGAGUAACACGUGGAUAACCAACCUAUAAGACUGGGAUAACUUCGGGAAACCGGAGCUAAUACCGGAUGAUAUUUUGAACCGCAUGGUUCAAAAGUGAAAGACGGUCUUGCUGUCACUUAUAGAUGGAUCCGCGCUGCAUUAGCUAGUUGGUAAGGUAACGGCUUACCAAGGCAACGAUGCAUAGCCGACCUGAGAGGGUGAUCGGCCACACUGGAACUGAGACACGGUCCAGACUCCUACGGGAGGCAGCAGUAGGGAAUCUUCCGCAAUGGGCGAAAGCCUGACGGAGCAACGCCGCGUGAGUGAUGAAGGUCUUCGGAUCGUAAAACUCUGUUAUUAGGGAAGAACAUAUGUGUAAGUAACUGUGCACAUCUUGACGGUACCUAAUCAGAAAGCCACGGCUAACUACGUG
rnacentral:rRNA from 1 species